CCCGCACAAGCGGUGGAGUAUGUGGUUAAUUCGAUGCAACGCGAAGAACCUUACCUGGUCUUGACAUCCCGGAGACCCUUAGGAAACUAGGGGGUGCUUCCAUCUGGAAGAAUCUGGAGACAGGUGCUGCAUGGCUGUCGUCAGCUCGUGUCGUGAGAUGUUGGGUUAAGUCCCGCAACGAGCGCAACCCUUGCCUUUAGUUGCCAGCAGUUCGGCUGGGCACUCUAAAGGGACUGCCGGUGUUAAACCGGAGGAAGGUGGGGAUGACGUCAAGUCCUCAUGGCCUUUAUGACCAGGGCUACACACGUACUACAAUGGCCGAUACAAAGGGCAGCGACACUGCGAGGUGAAGCCAAUCCCGUAAAAUCGGUCUCAGUCCGGAUUGGAGUCUGCAACUCGACUCCAUGAGGUUGGAAUCGCUAGUAAUCGUGGAUCAGCAUGCCACGGUGAAUACGUUCCCGGGCCUU
rnacentral:rRNA from 1 species